rnacentral:rRNA from 1 species
UACGAAGGGGGCUAGCGUUGCUCGGAAUCACUGGGCGUAAAGGGUGCGUAGGCGGGUUUUUAAGUCAGAGGUGAAAUCCUGGAGCUCAACUCCAGAACUGCCUUUGAUACUGAAAGUCUGAGUAUGGGAGAGGUGAGUGGAACUGCGAGUGUAGAGGUGAAAAUUCGUAGAUAUUCGCAAGAACACCAGUGGCGAAGGCGGCUCACUGGCCCAUACUGACGCUGAGGCACGAAAGCGUGGGGAGCAAACAGGG